AAUAUUGGACAAUGGGCGCAAGCCUGAUCCAGCCAUACCGCGUGGGUGAAGAAGGCCUUCGGGUUGUAAAGCCCUUUUGUUGGGAAAGAAAUCCAGCUGGUUAAUACUCGUGUGGGAUGACGGUACCCAAAGAAUAAGCACCGGCUAACUUCGUGCCAGCAGCCGCGGUAAUACGAAGGGUGCAAGCGUUACUCGGAAUUACUGGGCGUAAAGCGUGCGUAGGUGGUCGUUUAAGUCCGUUGUGAAAGCCCUGGGCUCAACCUGGGAACUGCAGUGGAUACUGGGCGACUAGAAUGUGGUAGAGGGUAGCGGAAUUCCUGGUGUAGCAGUGAAAUGCGUAGAGAUCAGGAGGAACAUCCAUGGCGAAGGCAGCCCCCUGGGAUAAUACUGACGCUCAGACACGAAAGCGUGGGGAGCAAACAGG
rnacentral:rRNA from 1 species